UCAGGUAUAGCUCAUUGGUAGAGUGCUUGCCUAGCAUGCAUGAAGUCCUGGGCUCUAUCCCCAGCACCAUAA
rnacentral:tRNA from 1 species